GUUGCUUCUGGGCCUUUGGCUAAGAUCAAGCAUAGCGCUUGUUCCCAUCAGUUUAAUGUUAUAUAUGUUCUCUACCUGACCACAGUGUGCUACAUGGAUACUAAAGCAGGAAGAGGAAUAGGAGUUUGGUGUUCACUCCCGUGUACCGAUCUGGAUUUGUGAUAUCUCCAGGAAUGGUGCACAGAAA
rnacentral:snRNA from 1 species